GAUUUUCUUGACAAUCGCAACAGAUGGAAAUGAAACGAUUUCCGGUGGGAGAAGUGUGUUGUGGUUAGGCCAGAUUGGACGUUCGCUGGAACAGCUCCGCAGAGCUCGUGGAUUCCGGGCAGCAACGAAGUGCCACGUGAGCGAGCGGUAGGAAUCUCAUAAGAUUCUGGUCCAAAAUAGCGAGUAGUGACCAAUUCAACUCGUACGAACAAGGCCCAGUGAGAAAUCAUCUCACAGAAUUGUCAAAACGAGACACCGGGGAAACCGCAAGGAGGUUUUUGGCAAGUAAGAUUUGGAUCUAGCCGGAGUUGCCACGACAAAGUCGAUCACAUCGAAACGGGAAGGCUCUCGCAAAGAGGGCCUUCUUAUAUGAGUCGCUUUGCAGAACACCAUUCACGUUCCGAGGCGUUCGGUCGAUCCAGCAGCCAUCUUGGCCCCAAAUAUUUUGCAGCAUUCCUCCGCUCUCCGCCAAUCUCGUCAGCAAUUCAGGCCCAGCAAAAUCAAUCUCCUCCACACGACCUCCAAAUACCGAAGAUUCAUCCAAGGCAGUCCGCAUGCAACAUCUCAAGUUAGUGACUGAACGUACAUCGUCUGAGGCAGCGUGCAGUAGGUCGGUGUACGGUAGCAGUGCAUGUGACUACAGCAGCGCGAUCGCAAGUCGUCAACAGCUAAUAGGACGAAAUUGGCACCAUUGGUGCGUUCGAAAUUAAGCGCCCAGCGGGCGGUCUGAGAACGUUUUCCGCUCAGUGAUUCCAGUUCGCGGUCAGAGAAUCGGCGAGAACGAAGUCAACGUCAUCGGCGGGGCCCCGUUCGUCGCAUCGAAAGUGCAUCCGUCGUCAUCAAGAGGUACCUUUAGUUAUAAGUAGAGAUUAAGAUCAACCGUUCAUGAGCUGUGAAUAGAAGAUGUAUAAGCUAAAACCCCAACACUACUAGACAUUAAUUGCCACACAACUAAAUUCAUUCAAUCCACAUUGACUGCCCGAGCACCUCACAAACAGAAAAUUUGCUUAGCCGGGCACGAACAAUCAGAGCAACAGGUCUCGUUCACUCAAUGGCUUUUCUCUCUGUAGAUUGGUGUCUUGUUCAUUUGCUUGACAAUCAUGCAGAAGAAUGACUACAAUAAAACU